rnacentral:rRNA from 1 species
CGCGCGAUACAGGGUGACAGCCCCGUACACAAAAGCGCAUGUGUUGUGAGCUCGAUGAGUAGGGCGGGACACGUGGUAUCCUGUCUGAAUAUGGGGGGACCAUCCUCCAAGGCUAAAUACUCCUGACUGACCGAUAGUGAACCAGUACCGUGAGGGAAAGGCGAAAAGAACCCCGGCGAGGGGAGUGAAAAAGAACCUGAAACCGUGUACGUACAAGCAGUGGGAGCACCCUUCGGGGUGUGACUGCGUACCUUUUGUAUAAUGGGUCAGCGACUUAUAUUCUGUAGCAAGGUUAACCGAAUAGGGGAGCCGGAGGGAAACCGAGUCUUAAUUGGGCGUUAAGUUGCAGGGUAUAGACCCGAAACCCGGUGAUCUAGCCAUGGGCAGGUUGAAGGUUGGGUAACACUAACUGGAGGACCGAACCGACUAAUGUUGAAAAAUUAGCGGAUGACCUGUGGCUGGGGGUGAAAGGCCAAUCAAACCGGGAGAUAGCUGGUUCUCCCCGAAAGCUAUUUAGGUAGCGCCUCGUGAAUUCAUCUCCGGGGGUAGAGCACUGUUUCGGCUAGGGGGCCAUCCCGGCUUACCAACCCGAUGCAAACUGCGAAUACCGGAGAAUGUUAUCACGGGAGACACACGGCGGGUGCUAACGUCCGUCGUGAAGAGGGAAACAACCCAGACCGCCAGCUAAGGUCCCAAAGUCAUGGUUAAGUGGGAAACGAUGUGGGAAGGCCCAGACAGCCAGGAUGUUGGCUUAGAAGCAGCCAUCAUUUAAAGAAAGCGUAAUAGCUCACUGGUCGAGUCGGCCUGCGCGGAAGAUGUAACGGGGCUAAACCAUGCACCGAAGCUGCGGCAGCGACACUGUGUGUUGUUGGGUAGGGGAGCGUUCUGUAAGCCUGUGAAGGUGUGUCGUGAGGCAUGCUGGAGGUAUCAGAAGUGCGAAUGCUGACAUAAGUAACGAUAAAGCGGGUGAAAAGCCCGCUCGCCGGAAGACCAAGGGUUCCUGUCCAACGUUAAUCGGGGCAGGGUGAGUCGACCCCUAAGGCGAGGCCGAAAGGCGUAGUCGAUGGGAAACGGGUUAAUAUUCCCGUACUUGGUGUUACUGCGAAGGGGGGACGGAGAAGGCUAUGUUGGCCGGGCGACGGUUGUCCCGGUUUAAGCGUGUAGGUGUGUGUUCCAGGUAAAUCCGGUUCACUUUAACACUGAGGCGUGACGACGAGGCACUACGGUGCUGAAGCAACAAAUGCCCUGCUUCCAGGAAAAGCCUCUAAGCAUCAGGUAACAUCAAAUCGUACCCCAAACCGACACAGGUGGUCAGGUAGAGAAUACCAAGGCGCUUGAGAGAACUCGGGUGAAGGAACUAGGCAAAAUGGUGCCGUAACUUCGGGAGAAGGCACGCUGACACGUAGGUGAAGUGAUUUACUCAUGGAGCUGAAGUCAGUCGAAGAUACCAGCUGGCUGCAACUGUUUAUUAAAAACACAGCACUGUGCAAACACGAAAGUGGACGUAUACGGUGUGACGCCUGCCCGGUGCCGGAAGGUUAAUUGAUGGGGUCAGCGCAAGCGAAGCUCCUGAUCGAAGCCCCGGUAAACGGCGGCCGUAACUAUAACGGUCCUAAGGUAGCGAAAUUCCUUGUCGGGUAAGUUCCGACCUGCACGAAUGGCGUAAUGAUGGCCAGGCUGUCUCCACCCGAGACUCAGUGAAAUUGAACUCGCUGUGAAGAUGCAGUGUACCCGCGGCAAGACGGAAAGACCCCGUGAACCUUUACUAUAGCUUGACACUGAACAUUGAGCCUUGAUGUGUAGGAUAGGUGGGAGGCUUUGAAGCGUGGACGCCAGUCUGCGUGG